rnacentral:rRNA from 1 species
UGGGGAAUUUUGGACAAUGGGCGAAAGCCUGAUCCAGCCAUGCCGCGUGCAGGAUGAAGGCCUUCGGGUUGUAAACUGCUUUUGUACGGAGCGAAAAGGUCUGCCCUAAUACGGGGGGCUCAUGACGGUACCGUAAGAAUAAGCACCGGCUAACUACGUGCCAGCAGCCGCGGUAAUACGUAGGGUGCGAGCGUUAAUCGGAAUUACUGGGCGUAAAGCGUGCGCAGGCGGUUAUGCAAGACAGAGGUGAAAUCCCCGGGCUCAACCUGGGAACUGCCUUUGUGACUGCAUAGCUAGAGUACGGUAGAGAGGGAUGGAAUUCCGCGUGUAGCAGUGAAAUGCGUAGAUAUGCGGAGGAACACCGAUGGCGAAGGCAAUCCCCUGGACCUGUACUGACGCUCAUGCACGAAAGCGUGGGGAGCAAACA